UACGUAGGUGGCGAGCGUUAUCCGGAAUUACUGGGCGUAAAGGGCACGCAGGCGGCCUAUCAAGUCUGACGUGAAAGCUCCUGGCUUAACUGGGAGAGGUCGUUGGAAACUGAGAGGCUUGAGGCGAUGAGAGGGGUGCGGAAUUCCCGGUGUAGUGGUGGAAUGCGUAGAUAUCGGGAGGAACACCAGUGGCGAAAGCGGCGCCCUAGCAUCGGCCUGACGCUCAUGUGCGAAAGCGUGGGGAGCGAACGGGAUUAGAUACCCCGGUAGUCCACGCUGUAAACGAUGAGCACUAGGUGUAGGCGGUGUCAAAGCUGUCUGUGCCGAAGCAAACGCGAUAAGUGCUCCGCCUGGGGAGUACGGCCGCAAGGCUAAA
rnacentral:rRNA from 1 species